AAUGGGCGCAAGCCUGAUCCAGCAAUGCCGCGUGUGUGAAGAAGGCCUGCGGGUUGUAAAGCACUUUCAGUGGGGAAGAACGGAUGCGGGCCAAUACCCCGGAUCACUGACGGUACCGGAACAAGAAGCACCGGCUAACUACGUGCCAGCAGCCGCGGUAAUACGUAGGGUGCGAGCGUUAAUCGGAAUUACUGGGCGUAAAGCGUGCGCAGGCGGUUUGGUAAGACAGGCGUGAAAUCCCCGGGCUUAACCUGGGAACUGCGCUUGUGACUGCCAGGCUAGAGUACGGCAGAGGGGGGUGGAAUUCCACGUGUAGCAGUGAAAUGCGUAGAGAUGUGGAGGAACACCAAUGGCGAAGGCAGCCCCCUGGGUCGAUACUGACGCUCAUGCACGAAAGCGUGGGUAGCAAA
rnacentral:rRNA from 1 species